rnacentral:lncRNA from 1 species
GCACCCAAUGCAAUGGGCAGGAGGUGAGGAUGGAGGUGCUGUGCCUGCUGCUGUCUGCUCUCUGCGCUGCUGCUGUGCCCAAAUCAGCUCCAGUGAAGGCAACGGGAGUUCCCACCGCGGUGCCGAGCAACAUCUCAGCAGAGUCAGGUCCCUGGGGCACAGCCACGCUGCGCCUGGCUGGUGGCAGCCACCCCUGUGAGGGCACAGUGCAGGUGCAGCAUCAUGGCCAGUGGAUGCCCGUGUGUCGGGGGUCCUGGAGUGCUGCUGCCUCUCAGGAGCUGUGCCACCACCUGCACUGCGGGGAUGCUGAGGAUGAUGCGGU